AUACUUGCCUGGCAGGGGAGACGCCAUGAUCAUGCAGGUGGUUUUCCCAGGGCAAGGCUCACCCAUUGUGCUAAGGUGUGUUGACCCCUGUUACUUCUCUGAAUGCGGGAAACUUGACUGUAUAACUGUAGUAGGGGGGAAACUGUGUUCACACUCUCCCUG
rnacentral:snRNA from 1 species